UGCUGCAUGGCUGUCGUCAGCUCGUGCCGUGAGAUGUUCGGUUAAGUCCGCUAACGAGCGCAACCCUCGCUGUGUGUUACAAGUGUCACACGGAACUGCCGGUCAUAAACCGGAGGAAGGUGGGGAUGACGUCAAGUCAGCAUGGCCUUUAUAUCCUGGGCUACACACACGCUACAAUGGGAAGGGACAAUAGGUUGCGAAGCCGCGAGGCGGAGCCAAUCCAGCAAAACUUCCCUCAGUUCAGAUUGCAGGCUGCAACUCGCCUGCAUGAAGUUGGAGUUGCUAGUAAACGCAGGUCAGCCAUACUGCGUUGAAUACGUUCCCGGGGCUU
rnacentral:rRNA from 1 species